AGAGUUUGAUCCUGGCUCAGAACGAACGCUGGCGGCAGGCCUAACACAUGCAAGUCGAAGGUGAAGCCACCCUCGGGUGGUAGAAACUGGCGCACGGGUGAGUAACGCGUGGGAAUUUGCCUUGGGGUGGGGGAUAACCGCUGGAAACGGCGGCUAGUACCGCAUACGCCCUGCGGGGGAAAGAUUUAUCGCCCUGGGAGGAGCCCGCGUUGGAUUAGCUUGUUGGUGGGGUAAAGGCCCACCAAGGCGACGAUCCAUAGCUGGUCUGAGAGGAUGAUCAGCCACACUGGGACUGAGACACGGCCCAGACUCCUACGGGAGGCAGCAGUGGGGAAUAUUGGACAAUGGGCGAAAGCCUGAUCCAGCCAUGCCGCGUGAGUGAAGAAGGCCUUAGGGUUGUAAAGCUCUUUCACCCGUGAAGAUGAUGACGGUAGCGGGAGAAGAAGCCCCGGCUAACUCCGUGCCAGCAGCCGCGGUAAUACGGAGGGGGCUAGCGUUGUUCAGAAUUACUGGGCGUAAAGGGCGCGUAGGCGGCCUGUCAAGUCAGGGGUGAAAGGCCCGGGCUCAACCCGGGAACUGCCCUUGAAACUGGCAAGCUAGAGUCCGAGAGAGGAUGGCGGAAUUCCCAGUGUAGAGGUGAAAUUCGUAGAUAUUGGGAAGAACACCGGUGGCGAAGGCGGCCAUCUGGCUCGGUACUGACGCUGA
rnacentral:rRNA from 1 species